rfam:Cronobacter sp. DJ34 Bact_A5_14, whole genome shotgun sequence.
CAGGUAACACGAAAUCGUACCCCAAACCGACACAGGUGGUCAGGUAGAGAAUACCAAGGCGCUUGAGAGAACUCGGGUGAAGGAACUAGGCAAAAUGGUGCCGUAACUUCGGGAGAAGGCACGCUGGUGCGUAGGUGAAGCGACUUGCUCGCGGAGCUGAAACCAGUCGAAGAUACCAGCUGGCUGCAACUGUUUAUUAAAAACACAGCACUGUGCAAACACGAAAGUGGACGUAUACGGUGUGACGCCUGCCCGGUGCCGGAAGGUUAAUUGAUGGGGUUAUCGCAAGAGAAGCUCCUGAUCGAAGCCCCGGUAAACGGCGGCCGUAACUAUAACGGUCCUAAGGUAGCGAAAUUCCUUGUCGGGUAAGUUCCGACCUGCACGAAUGGCGUAAUGAUGGCCAGGCUGUCUCCACCCGAGACUCAGUGAAAUUGAACUCGCUGUGAAGAUGCAGUGUACCCGCGGCAAGACGGAAAGACCCCGUGAACCUUUACUACAGCUUGACACUGAACAUUGAGCCUUGAUGUGUAGGAUAGGUGGGAGGCUUUGAAGCGUGGACGCCAGUCUGCGUGGAGCCAACCUUGAAAUACCACCCUUUAAUGUUUGAUGUUCUAACCUGGCGCCAUAAUCUGGCGUGGGGACAGUGUCUGGUGGGUAGUUUGACUGGGGCGGUCUCCUCCCAAAGUGUAACGGAGGAGCACGAAGGUCAGCUAAUCCUGGUCGGACAUCAGGAGGUUAGUGCAAUGGCAUAAGCUGGCUUGACUGCGAGAGUGACGGCUCGAGCAGGUGCGAAAGCAGGUCAUAGUGAUCCGGUGGUUCUGUAUGGAAGGGCCAUCGCUCAACGGAUAAAAGGUACUCCGGGGAUAACAGGCUGAUACCGCCCAAGAGUUCAUAUCGACGGCGGUGUUUGGCACCUCGAUGUCGGCUCAUCACAUCCUGGGGCUGAAGUAGGUCCCAAGGGUAUGGCUGUUCGCCAUUUAAAGUGGUACGCGAGCUGGGUUUAGAACGUCGUGAGACAGUUCGGUCCCUAUCUGCCGUGGGCGCUGGAGAAUUGAGGGGGGUUGCUCCUAGUACGAGAGGACCGGAGUGAACGCAUCACUGGUGUUCGGGUUGUCAUGCCAAUGGCACUGCCCGGUAGCUAAAUGCGGAAGAGAUAAGUGCUGAAAGCAUCUACACGAAACUUGCCCCGAGAUGAGUUCUCCCUGAGACCUUGAGUCUCCUGAAGGAACGUUGAAGACGACGACGUUGAUAGGCCGGGUGUGUAAGCGCAGCGAUGCGUUGAGCUAACCGGUACUAAUGAACCGUGAGGCUUAACCUU